rnacentral:rRNA from 1 species
GACGAACGCUGGCGGCGUGCCUAAUACAUGCAAGUUGAGCGAUGAAGAUUGGUGCUUGCACCCAUUUGAAGAGCAGCGAACGGGUGAGUAACGCGUGGGGAAUCUGCCUUUGAGCGGGGGACAACAUUUGGAAACGAAUGCUAAUACCGCAUAACAACUUUAAACAUAAGUUUUAAGUUUGAAAGAUGCAAUUGCAUCACUCAAAGAUGAUCCCGCGUUGUAUUAGCUAGUUGGUGAGGUAAAGGCUCACCAAGGCGAUGAUACAUAGCCGACCUGAGAGGGUGAUCGGCCACAUUGGGACUGAGACACGGCCCAAACUCCUACGGGAGGCAGCAGUAGGGAAUCUUCGGCAAUGGACGAAAGUCUGACCGAGCAACGCCGCGUGAGUGAAGAAGGUUGUCGGAUCGUAAAACUCUGUUGGUAGAGAAGAACGUUGGUGAGAGUGGAAAGCUCAUCAAGUGACGGUAACUACCCAGAAAGGGACGGCUAACUACGUG